rnacentral:rRNA from 1 species
AGUAAAAGUCGUAACAAGGUUUCCGUAGGUGAACCUGCGGAAGGAUCAUUAACGAGUAACUGAACAGGUUGUAGCUGGCCUUUCGGGGCAUGUGCACACCUGGCUCAUCCACUCUUCAACCUCUGUGCACUUGUUGUAGGUCGGUAGAAGAGCGAGCAUCUAAUGCUUGCUUGGAAGCCUUCCUAUGUUUUACUGCAAACGCUUCAGUUUAAGAAUGUUUACCUGCGUAUAACGCAUUUAUAUACAACUUUCAGCAACGGAUCUCUUGGCUCUCGCAUCGAUGAAGAACGCAGCGAAAUGCGAUAAGUAAUGUGAAUUGCAGAAUUCAGUGAAUCAUCGAAUCUUUGAACGCACCUUGCGCUCCCUGGUAUUCCGGGGAGCAUGCCUGUUUGAGUGUCAUGGUAUUCUCAACCUUCAUAACUUUUGUUAUCGAAGGCUUGGACUUGGAGGUUGUGCUGGCUCCUAGUUAAGUCGGCUCCUCUUAAAUGUAUUAGCGUGAGUGUAACGGAUCGCUUCGGUGUGAUAAUUAUCUGCGCCGUGGUCGUGAAGUAACAUAGGCUUGCGCUUCUAACCGUCCUUCAGUUGGACAAUUACUUUGACAUCUGACCUCAAAUCAGGUAGGACUACCCGCUGAACUUAAGCAUAUCAAUAAGCGGAGGA